AGUGAACGCUGGCGGUAGGCCUAACACAUGCCAGUCGAACGGCAGCACAGUAAGAGCUUGCUCUUACGGGUGGCGAGUGGCGGACGGGUGAGGAAUACAUCGGACUCUACUUUUUCGUGGGGGAUAACGUAGGGAAACUUACGCUAAUACCGCAUACGACCUACGGGUGAAAGCAGGGGAUCUUCGGACCUUGCGCGAAUGAAUGCGCCGAUGUCGGACUAGCUAGUUGGCGGGGUAAAGGCCCACCAAGGCGACGAUCCGUAGCUGGUCUGAGAGGAGGGUCGGCCACACUGGAACUGAGACACGGUCAAUACUCCUACGGGAGGCAGCAGUGGGGAAUAUGGGACAAUGGGCGCAAACCUGAUCCAGCCAUACCGCGUGGGUGAAGAAGGCCUUCGGGUUGUAAAGCCCUUUUGUUGGGAAAGAAAAGCAGCAGGUUAAUACCCCGCUGUUCUGACGGUACCCAAAGAAUAAGCACCGGCUAACUUCGUG
rnacentral:rRNA from 1 species